UUAAAUUGAAGAGUUUGAUCAUGGCUCAGAUUGAACGCUGGCGGCAGGCCUAACACAUGCAAGUCGAACGGUAACAGGAAGCAGCUUGCUGCUUUGCUGACGAGUGGCGGACGGGUGAGUAAUGUCUGGGAAACUGCCUGAUGGAGGGGGAUAACUACUGGAAACGGUAGCUAAUACCGCAUAACGUCGCAAGACCAAAGAGGGGGACCUUCGGGCCUCUUGCCAUCGGAUGUGCCCAGAUGGGAUUAGCUAGUAGGUGGGGUAACGGCUCACCUAGGCGACGAUCCCUAGCUGGUCUGAGAGGAUGACCAGCCACACUGGAACUGAGACACGGUCCAGACUCCUACGGGAGGCAGCAGUGGGGAAUAUUGCACAAUGGGCGCAAGCCUGAUGCAGCCAUGCCGCGUGUAUGAAGAAGGCCUUCGGGUUGUAAAGUACUUUCAGCGGGGAGGAAGGCGAUAAGGUUAAUAACCUUGUCGAUUGACGUUACCCGCAGAAGAAGCACCGGCUAACUCCGUGCCAGCAGCCGCGGUAAUACGGAGGGUGCAAGCGUUAAUCGGAAUUACUGGGCGUAAAGCGCACGCAGGCGGUCUGUCAAGUCGGAUGUGAAAUCCCCGGGCUCAACCUGGGAACUGCAUUCGAAACUGGCAGGCUAGAGUCUUGUAGAGGGGGGUAGAAUUCCAGGUGUAGCGGUGAAAUGCGUAGAGAUCUGGAGGAAUACCGGUGGCGAAGGCGGCCCCCUGGACAAAGACUGACGCUCAGGUGCGAAAGCGUGGGGAGCAAACAGGAUUAGAUACCCUGGUAGUCCACGCCGUAAACGAUGUCGACUUGGAGGUUGUGCCCUUGAGGCGUGGCUUCCGGAGCUAACGCGUUAAGUCGACCGCCUGGGGAGUACGGCCGCAAGGUUAAAACUCAAAUGAAUUGACGGGGGCCCGCACAAGCGGUGGAGCAUGUGGUUUAAUUCGAUGCAACGCGAAGAACCUUACCUACUCUUGACAUCCAGAGAACUUAGCAGAGAUGCUUUGGUGCCUUCGGGAACUCUGAGACAGGUGCUGCAUGGCUGUCGUCAGCUCGUGUUGUGAAAUGUUGGGUUAAGUCCCGCAACGAGCGCAACCCUUAUCCUUUGUUGCCAGCGGUCCGGCCGGGAACUCAAAGGAGACUGCCAGUGAUAAACUGGAGGAAGGUGGGGAUGACGUCAAGUCAUCAUGGCCCUUACGAGUAGGGCUACACACGUGCUACAAUGGCGCAUACAAAGAGAAGCGACCUCGCGAGAGCAAGCGGACCUCAUAAAGUGCGUCGUAGUCCGGAUUGGAGUCUGCAACUCGACUCCAUGAAGUCGGAAUCGCUAGUAAUCGUGGAUCAGAAUGCCACGGUGAAUACGUUCCCGGGCCUUGUACACACCGCCCGUCACACCAUGGGAGUGGGUUGCAAAAGAAGUAGGUAGCUUAACCUUCGGGAGGGCGCUUACCACUUUGUGAUUCAUGACUGGGGUGAAGUCGUAACAAGGUAACCGUAGGGGAACCUGCGGUUGGAUCACCUCCUUACCUUAAAGAA
rnacentral:rRNA from 4 species